GCGCGUGUGGCGUAAUUGGUAGCCGCGCAGACUUAGGAUCUGGUGUCGUGAGACGUGUAGGUUCGAGUCCUAUCACGCGCACAA
rnacentral:tRNA from 1 species